rnacentral:rRNA from 1 species
GAUGAACGCUGGCGGCGUGCCUAACACAUGCAAGUCGAACGGAGAUUACGGACGGAAGUUUUCGGAUGGAAGACUGUAAUUCUUAGUGGCGGACGGGUGAGUAACGCGUGGGCAACCUGCCCUAUACAGGGGGAUAGCAGCUGGAAACGGCUGGUAAGACCGCAUAAGUCGGCGAGACCGCAUGGUUUUGCCGGGAAAUGAGCAAUCAGGUAUAGGAUGGGCCCGCGUCCGAUUAGCCAGUUGGCAGGGUAAAAGCCUACCAAAGCAACGAUCGGUAGCCGGACUGAGAGGUAGGACGGCCACAUUGGGACUGAGACACGGCCCAAACUCCUACGGGAGGCAGCAGUGGGGGAUAUUGCACAAUGGAGGAAACUCUGAUGCAGCGACGCCGCGUGAGUGAAGAAGUAUUUCGGUAUGUAAAGCUCUAUCAGCAGGGAAGAUGAUGACGGUACCUGACUAAGAAGCCCCGGCUAACUACGUG